CCUACGGGGGGCUGCAGUCGAGAAUAGUCUACAAUGGUCGAAAGACUGAUAGUGCGACGCCGCGUGAACGAAGAAGCCCUUCGGGGUGUAAAGUUCUUUUAUAUGUGAGCAAUGCCAGAUAGGUGAAUAGUCUGUUUGGAGCGAUAUUAGCAUAUGAAUAAGCAACGGCUAACUCCGUGCCAGCAGCCGCGGUAACACGGGGGUUGCAAGCGUUGUCCGGAAUUACUAGGCGUAAAGGGCAGGUAGGCGGAUCUAUAAGUUUAAUGUUAAAGGCGACGGCUUACCCGUCGUAAGGCGUUAGAUACUGUAGAUCUGGAAUACGGUUGGGGAAGACAGAAUUCCUGGUGUAGCGGUGGAAUGCGCAGAUAUCAGGAGGAAUACCGAAGGCGAAGGCAGUCUUCUAAGCCGUUAUUGACGCUAAACUGCGAAGGUGUGGGUAUCAAACAGGAUUAGAUACCCCAGUAGUC
rnacentral:rRNA from 1 species